GACGAACGCUGGCGGCGUGCUUAACACAUGCAAGUCGAGCGGUAAGGCCCUUUCGGGGUACGACGAGCGGCGAACGGGUGAGUAACACGUGGGUGACCUGCCCUCAGCUCUGGGAGUAAGCCUCGGGAAACCGGGUACUAAUACUGGAUAUGACUCCAUGACGCAUGUUGUGGGGUGGAAAGCCUUGUGCGGCUGAGGAUGGGCCCGCGGCCUAUCAGCUUGUUGGGUGGGGUGAGGCCUACCAAGGCGACGA
rnacentral:rRNA from 1 species